UCAGCCGCCACAGCUGCCCCUCCCGAUUCGCGUGAUUCCGGUGGAUAUUGCCGGGGUGGAGCACACCACCGAGCUCGCCUUGCUUGGAUCCAUCCUUCCCUCCGGCAAGAUUUCCCCCUUUCGACCUCAACUGCUUGCCCAAAACCACUUCCCGUGCUAGGGUUUCGGCAUCCGGCAUCGCCUUCGUCGUCGGCCCUUCUACGGCCGCCUAUGGCGCCUCUUCUCCGUCGUCUACAGCGCCCCCAUGGGCGCCCUCGCUUCCUGAUGGUCCACCUUGAGCAACGAGGCACGGAGGACCUCAUCCCGUAGGAUCCAUGGACGCGGCGCACCCUGCAGCCGCCCGUCCGGGACGAGGGUGGGCACCAUGGCUUGUCCUGCUCGACGACAGCUGCGGCGAGUGCAUGUGCUGCUCCUCAUCCUCAAACUCCAAGGAGAAGCGCCAGUACAGCAUACGCACGCCCCGCCCCUGAACAAUGGCUAUGGCGCUAGGGUUCUGCGACAGCCAUCUAACUAGUGCGCCAUACUUAUCUGCCUAAUCGGCUGAUUGGGGGUUCUGUUGGGUUGACAAAGAGGACGCCCUCCUUGAAGCGUCCAUCCCUGACGAGCUCUCUUCACCGGAGGAGAUGGAGCAGCAAGUCCAGCACCCGCUUGGCCCCUGUGUCCUAUCUCACGUGUACAAGCUCACCAAUGGCUUUCAUUCCCUCCUAGUGUGGUGAGCUUCUCCCAUCUCUCGACUUUAGCCCCAAAUCUGGAUGACACUUGCAAUCUGAAUACAAAUCAUGUUUUGGUUCAGUUUAGAGGUGGAUUCAGUUUUUGAGAUGUGAGUUUGAUUAGUUACAGAUGGUUUUGCGGGUCUGAUUCUCUUGCUCUAUUACACGUUAUUUAAUCAGGGCAA